AUAGAGGGGAGGAGAGGGAGAGAGGGGAGGAGAGGGAGGGAGGGUGCGUAGAGUGGGUGGCGGCGGGUUCGUGGGGCGGCGGGGCGGCUGCGGCUGCGGCCAGGGGCGGCGGACGAAGGCGGGCUGAAGCUAAGCGCUAACCUAACGGUUCCGGCGAGCGGCGGCGGCCUCCUCCAGCCCCUUUCCGUCGGUGGUCGGUUGGCAGGUGCGCUCCGCGCUGCCUCAAGGGCGAGGCGACGAACCUGGGCCUUGUCGUGCAUGGAUGCUCUAGCUGGCCGAGUGUCUCGCGCCGGUCUCGUCGAAGACAAGGGUGGUUGCGGCAUGGGACGCCGUCUUGUCGCGCGCUGCGGAAGCGGGACACGAGCACCGCUGCGGCCCGCUCGUCGGCUCGUGCGCGGGGACCGGGCCGGGGCGCCGUUCCGUUGUGGCGCCGACCAAAUAAGGAGCACCAGAGAGCGGUAUUACGAGGGAGGCGGAUCAGGUGCAGGUGACCAACGACGAGUAGUAGGGUCACGUACUGUCUUUUAUACACUUGCGGUAGGGUCCUGUCUCUUUCUCCGUGAUACCUGAUCCUAAUGAACGACCGAUGGUUGUUGACUUUUAUACUCCGUACCUAGCUGUACCUUUGUUCUCUUUCUUCUUUGUUUUUAUUCGUAAUAUCUGAUCUACUACUCUUGUCACCAAAGAGAGUCACGUUAUACGAAUCAACUACCUCGUACGAGGACCCUGUAUGGUCCGAUUUCACUACAAGGUCUCAUGUGUACCUUUCACUGAACUACCUUCAGUUGCUGUACAGGUACACGUUCUUCUUGCCGGUCUGGGGAAGCGGUUACAGUCAGUAACGAGGCCGCCCGUGCGCAUUGAGGGCUGUUCGUAGCUGGCUAGGAAGAGGCAGACGGUGACUGCGCUGGCCAGGAUGUGGAUGUGGAUGUGGAGGCACUACUGCUAAACGAAUUCUAGUGCCUUCGAACCCAACUACCUCACGAACAUAAAUCAAAAACAAAACUGGAACACUUUGAACGAUGGAUACCUACUUUGACACAUUAUAACUACUUUGAUACAUAUACAUGCCUACUUUGAACGAUGAUAACCAUUGUACAUAACCUAUAUACACAAGUACUGAUAACCAUUAUACACAACUUAUACGAUAUAACCAGUAUAUUUAU
rnacentral:rRNA from 1 species